UACUAACGCUGGCGGCGUGCCUAAUACAUGCAAGUCGAACGCAGUGGGGACGGGUGAGUAACACGUGGGUAACCUCCCAUCAGAGGGGAUAACACUUGGCAACAGGUGCUAAACCGAUACUGAUGGAUGAACCCGCGGUGCAUUAGCUAGUUGGUGAGGUAACGGCUCACCAAGGCCACGAUGCAUAGCCGACCUGGGAGGGUGAUCGGCCACACUGGGACUGAGACACGGCCCAGACUCCUACGGGAGGAAGCAGGAGGGAAUCUUCGGCAAUGGACGAAAGUCUGACCGAGCAACGCCGCGGUAAUAC
rnacentral:rRNA from 1 species